GGGAAGAACAGCUAGAAUAGGGAAUGAUUUUAGUUUGACGGUACCAUACCAGAAAGGGACGGCUAAAUACGUGCCAGCAGNCCGCGGUAAUACGUAUGUCCCCGAGCGUUAUCCGGAUUUAUUGGGCGUAAAGCGAGCGCAGACGGUUGAUUAAUUCUGAUGUGAAAGCCCCGAGCUCAACUCCGGAAUGGCAUUGGAAACUGGUUAACUUGAGUGCAGUAGAGGUAAGUGGAACUCCAUGUGUAGCGGUGGAAUGCGUAGAUAUAUGGAAGAACACCAGUGGCGAAGGCGGCUUACUGGACUGUAACUGACGUUGAGGCUCGAAAGUGUGGGUAGCAAACAGGAUUAGAUACCCUGGUAGUCCACACCGUAAACGAUGAACACUAGGUGUUAGGAGGUUUCCGCCUCUUAGUGCCGAAGCUAACGCAUUAAGUGUUCCGCCUGGGGAGUACGACCGCAAGGUUGAAACUCAAAGGAAUUGACGGGGACCCGCACAAGCGGUGGAGCAUGUGGUUUAAUUCGAAGCAACGCGAAGAACCUUACCAGGUCUUGACAUCCUUUGAAGCUUUUAGAGAUAGAAGUGUUCUCUUCGGAGACAAAGUGACAGGUGGUGCAUGGUCGUCGUCAGCUCGUGUCGUGAGAUGUUGGGUUAAGUCCCGCAACGAGCGCAACCCUUAUUGUUAGUUGCCAGCAUUCAGAUGGGCACUCUAGCGAGACUGCCGGUGACAAACCGGAGGAAGGCGGGGACGACGUCAGAUCAUCAUGCCCCUUAUGACCUGGGCUACACACGUGCUACAAUGGCGUAUACAACGAGUUGCCAACCCGCGAGGGUGAGCUAAUCUCUUAAAGUACGUCUCAGUUCGGAUUGUAGUCUGCAACUCGACUACAUGAAGUCGGAAUCGCUAGUAAUCGCGGAUCAGCACGCCGCGGUGAAUACGUUCCCGGGUCUUGUACACACCG
rnacentral:rRNA from 1 species